GAUCCUGGCUCAGGAUAAACGCUGGCGGCGUGCUUAACACAUGCAAGUCGAACGGAGUAUUCCUCGGAAGAUUGAAGAGCUUGCUCGGAGAGAUUCUUGGAAUACUUAGUGGCGGACGGGUGAGUAACGCGUGGGUAACCUGCCUCACACAGGGGGAUAACAGUUGGAAACGACUGUUAAUACCGCAUAAGCGCACAGUAUCGCAUGAUACAGUGUGAAAAACUCCGGUGGUGUGAGAUGGACCCGCGUCUGAUUAGCUGGUUGGUGAGGUAACGGCCCACCAAGGCGACGAUCAGUAGCCGGCCUGAGAGGGUGAUCGGCCACAUUGGAACUGAGAUACGGUCCAGACUCCUACGGGAGGCAGCAGUGGGGAAUAUUGGGCAAUGGGCGAAAAAGCCUGACCCAGCAACGCCGCGUGAGGGAAGAAGGGUUUCGGCUCGUAAACCUCUGUCCUAUGGGACGAAGGAAGUGACGGUACCAUAGGAGGAAGCCCCGGCUAACUACGUGCCAGCCGCCGC
rnacentral:rRNA from 1 species